rnacentral:rRNA from 1 species
GCAUAUCAAUAAGCGGAGGAAAAGAAACCAACAGGGAUUGCCCCCAGUAACGGCGAGUGAAGCGGCAACAGCUCAAAUUUGAAAUCUGGCCCCCAGGGUCCGAGUUGUAAUUUGUAGAGGAUGCUUUUGGCGCGGCGCCUUCCGAGUUCCCUGGAACGGGACGCCAUAGAGGGUGAGAGCCCCGUCUGGUCGGAUGCCUAGCCUCUGUAAAGCUCCUUCGACGAGUCGAGUAGUUUGGGAAUGCUGCUCUAAAUGGGAGGUAUAUGUCUUCUAAAGCUAAAUAUUGGCCAGAGACCGAUAGCGCACAAGUAGAGUGAUCGAAAGAUGAAAAGCACUUUGAAAAGAGGGUUAAAUAGUACGUGAAAUUGUUGAAAGGGAAGCGUUUGUGACCAGACUUGGGCCCGGUUAAUCAUCCAGCGUUCUCGCUGGUGCACUUUGCCGGCCCAGGCCAGCAUCAGUUCGCCCUGGGGGAUAAAGGUUUCGGGAAUGUGGCUCCCUCGGGAGUGUUAUAGCCCGUUGCGUAAUACCCUGUGGCGGACUGAGGUUCGCGCUCCGCAAGGAUGCUGGCGUAAUGGUCAUCAGCGACCCGUCUUGAAACACGGACCAAGGAGUCGUCUUCGUAUGCGAGUGUUCGGGUGUCAAACCCCUACGCGUAAUGAAAGUGAACGCAGGUGAGAGCUUCGGCGCAUCAUCGACCGAUCCUGAUGUUCUCGGAUGGAUUUGAGUAAGAGCAUACGGGGCCGGACCCGAAAGAAGGUGAACUAUGCCUGUAUAGGGUGAAGCCAGAGGAAACUCUGGUGGAGGCUCGCAGCGGUUCUGACGUGCAAAUCGAUCGUCAAAUAUGGGCAUGGGGGGCGAAAGACUAAUCGAACCUUCUAGUAGCUGGUUUCCGCCGA